rnacentral:rRNA from 1 species
UACGGAGGAUCCAAGCGUUAUCCGGAUUUAUUGGGCUUAAAGGGCGCGUAGGUGGCCUGUUAAGUCAGGGGUGAAAGACGGUAGCUCAACUAUCGCAGUGCCCUUGAUACUGAUGGGCUUGAAUGAACUAGAGGUAGGCGGAAUGUGACAAGUAGCGGUGAAAUGCAUAGAUAUGUCACAGAACACCAAUUGCGAAGGCAGCUUACUAUGGUUUUAUUGACACUGAGGCACGAAAGCGUGGGGAUCAAACAGG